rnacentral:sRNA from 1 species
GCUGGGUGUGGUGGCGCACGCCUGUAAUCCCAGUGGCUCUGGAGGCUGAGACAGGAGGAUUGCAAAUUCAAAACCAGCCUUAGAAAAGUGAGGUGCUAAGCAAGUCAGUGAGAACCUGUCUCUA